rnacentral:lncRNA from 1 species
GCUCUCAGCGCCGCUCAGCGCGGCGGGCCCGCCCGGGCUCAGGUGCCCCCCGCUCUCCGGACCUUCUCGCCCGGCCCCGCGUCCCCUCCGCGGGCUUCCCCCGGCGGCCGGCCGGGCUCGGAGGCUCGCGGCCGGAGCGGAGCGGAGUGCGCACGCCGGGGUGGCAGGACUUCGGCAAGACCAACUUUCCGUGGUCCUGUCUGGUGUGAACCGUCAGCACAGAUGGCCUCCUGGAGCUUCCCCGAGUCGUUCGCUGGGGGAAGCGGGCGGUGAGCGGCCAGCCCGGGCGCUCCGCAGGCCGCGAGCUCCCGGCAGGGCUGGUGGCGGGGGUCCGCCUGGGGGAGGAAUCCCCGCCUGCUCCAUCGGACCCGGCCUGGCGCGGCUCGCGGCGCUCGGCGGGCUCCCUUCCAUUCUAGAAUCUUCCCGCUUGCUUCCCAGCCCGCGUUCUUCCGCCUGCCUUUAAUUGUGUGUGGACGUGGGGAGGAUCUUCUAAGUCCCUCCAACGAAGGCAAGUGUGAGACUCUGGCCCUUUAUUUGUAAGAAGCAAGCCUUCAGAUUGCAGAAGUGUCGCGCGGGUCGCCGUGCGUUGCGCGAGUGGGAAGAUGGAGGAGGCCGGCACGCUGCUUUCGUGGACGCAAGUGAACCGGGCGUGAAGGCAGGGUGCGAGCUCUGCCCUUGGCCCAGCCCUGCGUGGGCGCCGUCCCAGAUUCCGGGCGGUGCGGGGUGCAGAGAUCUGGAGAGACUUGCGGGCUCCCCAGCGCAGGCUGCUCUGGGAUUUCGUUGGAAGAUCCGGCAGAGCCUUGGAGGAGAGGGCCCGGGAGGCUGUGUGUGCAGCGGAAACUUGUACGAAUGCCCCCACAGCGGAAAUGGUGCGCACGAGUAAUUUCUGCGGUGCACCCUUUUAAAAAUUGACAAGUGAACAAGAUCAAUUUUUUAAGAAAGCAAAGGUAGAAAACAAAAGGCGUGCGACUUCUUGACUGGCUUGUUCCCGCCUUUCUUCCUUCUCUAUACUCAGAUCAGAAACUUUUCUUUAAUUGCUCUUAUUCAGUGCGACAACUUUUAAUAAAAGCAUUUGCAUUUUAAGCCUGAGUUGCAACCAUAGAUUUAUUGCGAAGUGACAACGUGUCUAUGGAAUAUUUUCGCAGAUGAGACAGGACAUGCGCUCUAGUCGUGCCCAGAUUAAAGCGACGCUGGGCCAUGUGCCUGUGUAGUGCAGACUCGGAGGGGCACACACAUACUCGUCACCACAUGACCACUGUCUAUUAAUAUUGUCAUACCUAAACACUCGCAAAAACAAAAGUUGCUUUUCUUCCCUGUAAUUAAAUCUAAUUUG